CGCUGUUUGCCUUGUUGGAUGGAUGAGUAUUUAAGCUUAGGCUACUGGUAUGAAGAUCUUCAUGUGUGUCAAAAGUUGGACGGCUACCGUAGAAGGAAUGAACAAGAAGCGGCUUCCCACUUCCACAUUUCCGCCUCACUUGAGAAUAUCAAAGAAAGCAUCAGACCAAUGAUUCCGGGAAGAGUGGAGAAAUGGGUUGGGCGCAGAGGAACCCGAGGGAGCAUACGCACCUUCCAAGUUUGGGAGCGCCUGCGUGCCGGAGACUCGUUGGGGCGGCGGAGUGCCAAAAUCGUCCCGCCGGUAGGGGGCGUGCGAGGGGGAGCGGCGGCUCAUGCGCAAAGAAACGGCGGGAAAGGCUGCGCGUGCGCAUGAGGAACGUUGCCGGACCCAAGCGGAAGCGUGAACGUAGGAGCGCGUUGCUAGGCGUUCAGCGAGGCGUCUUCACCUUCAGUUUCACCCGUGUGACUGGCUGAAGAGAGAGGUGGAGACCUCAGGGCCAGCACACUCCUUGCCAGUUCUCACGUAGAGCAUUUGAGGAGGCAGCGAAAGGCCAGAGUGGCGGGACCACGGCAAGAGAAGAGCAUGGCCCCAGAAAUGAGGUCUGCUCAGGACAGGGAACGGCCCCCUGCGGCCCACAGAGCUGCUCCCGAGAGUAAGCCUGGGAGGGAGCCAGAGC